rnacentral:rRNA from 1 species
UAGGGAAGUCUUCCACAAUGGACGAAAGUACUGAUGGAGCAACGCCGCGUGAGUGAAGAAGGGUUUCGGGCUCGUAAAACUCUGUUGUUAAAGAAGAACAUAUCUGAGAGUAACUGUUCAGGUAUUGACGGUAUUUAACCAGAAAGCCACGGCUAACUACGUGCCAG